rnacentral:rRNA from 1 species
GUGGGGAAUAUUGGACAAUGGGCGAAAGCCUGAUCCAGCCAUGCCGCGUGUGUGAAGAAGGUCUUCGGAUUGUAAAGCACUUUAAGUUGGGAGGAAGGGCAGUAAGUUAAUACCUUGCUGUUUUGACGUUACCGACAGAAUAAGCACCGGCUAACUUCGUGCCAGCAGCCGCGGUAAUACGAAGGGUGCAAGCGUUAAUCGGAAUUACUGGGCGUAAAGCGCGCGUAGGUGGAUUUGUAAGUUGGAGGUGAAAUCCCCGGGCUCAACCUGGGAACUGCCUCCAAAACUGCAUGACUAGAGUACGGUAGAGGGUAGUGGAAUUUCCUGUGUAGCGGUGAAAUGCGUAGAUAUAGGAAGGAACACCAGUGGCGAAGGCGACUACCUGGACUGAUACUGACACUGAGGUGCGAAAGCGUGGGGAGCAAACAGGAUUAGAAACCCCUGUAGUCC